CUUCAGUGUUGCAGCUGGAAAUAAAACUGGUCCGCUGCUUGCUAUUCACUACCAGUAAGGCCUGCUGCUGCCACUACCCAAGCACCUCUCUGUCCCACUGCUCUUUCCACUCUGUCUUGGAACAGCUAAUCUAAGAAUUCCUGACACAACACUUGAUUCAGCCAGGAGGUGACAGCAAAUGCAAUCAGAAACUAUUCUAUUGGUGAAGAGGUAUAUUAAGCCCUGCCUGGUUAACCUCUAGCAAGAUUAUUAGAGAAUUAGGAGACGCUCGAAUCGGCAUCUUGCAUGUGGUUAUCAAACCUUUAUGAAAUGAAGUUUUGCAAGUUCACCAGAGAGCCAGGAUAAAUCACUGUUAACCAUGGAUGUCCUUGUGAGGCUAUCUGGAGAAAGGAACAGGUAUCUCAGUCAGGUAAGUGAUUGUUGAACAUGGAAGUAAAUAUUUUGCUUUGACUUUUUGUUGUAUUUGUCAUAUUUGAUAGUUUUCCUAAUAAUGAGCCAACCUUGCAUUUCUGGAAGAAAAUGUCUACUUUUCAAGGAUUUUGAAUCGUGUUUGCUAAAUUUGCUAAUUUUAAUUUUAUUUUCCAUUUUAUAUGUUCAAAAGUGAGACUUUGAGGGGGGAGAGCAGUCUUUGUUAGUCAUUGAUAUUAAAGUCACUGAUGAAAUCUUUUGUUGUCUGCUUUUUUUGAUACUAAAGUUUUGCUCUAUUGCUCUGACCAGAGUACAGUGGCAUCAUAACUCACAGCAACCUCAAACUUCUGGGCUCAAGCAAUCUUUUUGCCUUAGCCUCCCAAGUAGUGAGGACUACAGGCAUGUGCCACCACACUAAACUAAAUUUUCUAUUUUUGGUAGAUAUAGGGUCUCACUCUUGCUCAGGCUGAUCUGGAGCUCCCAAUCUCAGGUGAUCCUCUUGAGAGCACUGGGAUUAUAGGGAUUGCAUUUGCAAAUGACCACAGGAUCCAGAUGUGGUAAAUGUGUAAGAUGGUUCUGAUAUUCUUUUCCUUUUUCUUGAAACACUCCUUUUUCCGGGUGGUGGUGAUGGGGAAGUAUGGGGGUGGUGAGUGCAUUUCUUUUGUUUAUCCACCUUUGAUAGAAACAUUAGAGGAGAGUUUUCUCUAAAAUAUAAACAAGAGUCCAAGUGGAAUGGUAAAGAGUAACUGACACUUUUAUUAGGAGGGUAAUAGGGAGUAUUUGGGAUUGUGGUCAGUUGGAACACAGACCUUUCAUCCAAAGCGGAAGGCUUUAGUGCUUGCUUCCUGGUUGCCCAGUAGAAAUGUGGAUCUCAGAUUGCCAGGAUUUCCAGCUCUUGUCAAAAAGCCAAAUUGGCUUCAUUUUUUUUUUUCUUUCCCACCCUCCCGCCUUCUCCUAUAGCUUCAUAUUUUUUUUGGUUUCUUUUUAUUGUUUUUUUUUUUUUUUUUGAGACAGAGUCUUACUUUGUUCGCCCCCCUGGUAGAGUGUGGUGGUGUCAUACAUCACAGCAACUUCAAACUCAGGCUAAAGCAGUUCUCUUGCUUCAGCCUUCCAAGUAGCUGGGACUAUAGGGUCCCGCCACAAUGCUCGACUAUUUUUAGAAACAAGACCAGUCUUGGUCUAGCUCAGGCUGGUCUCGAACCUGUGAGCUCAGGCAAUCCGCCUGCCUCAGCCUCCCAGAGUGCUAGUAUUACAGGCUUGAGCCACUGUGCCAGCCCAACUUUUUUGGUUUCAAUUUGUUUUAAAUGUUUCAGAAUAUAUUUAUAAAUGCUUUUAUAACCUUACAGCUUCUGCUUCUUCAUAAUUUUGGCUUAUUUGUAAUGUUACCUUUUUCCCACAUGGUACAAAACAUGGGGAUGUAUCACUAUGUGUUCAACUGGGCCAGGAGCUUGGCAGUUUCCCUUGGGCAGUGUUUAAAACUGGUCCACAGUUUUGAAUGCCAUUAUAUAUGUUAGAAUGGAAUAGAUUAGGAAGCAAUGAUAAGAUACAGAUAAGACAAUAGGAAGGGCGGUGCCUGUGGCUCAGUAGAUAGGGUGCCGGCCCCAUAUACCAAGGGUGGUGGGUUUGAACCUGGCCCUGGCUAUAUUGCAACAAAAAAUAGCCGGGCGUUGUGGCGGGCCCCUGUGGUCGCAGCUACUCGGGAGGUUGAGGCAAGAUAAUCGCCUAAGCCAAGAGCUGGGGGUUGCUGUGAGCUGUGACGCCACGGCACUCUACCGAGGGCGACACAAUAACACUCUGUCUCUAAAAUAAAUAAAUAAAUAAAAGAUAGGAAAAUACUAGCUGUCAUCUGUACUUUCCCUUUGGUAAGUACACUCUGUCUCUAAAAAAAAUAAAUAAAUAAAAGAUAGGAAAAUACUAGCUGUCAUCUGUACUUUCCCUUUGGUAAGUACAAGAAGUCCUCCCUAUCAGUGGGUUCCACAUUCAUGAUUUCUGCCAAAUGUCGAUCAAAAAUUUGUGGACAAAACAAUAAAUAACAACACAAUCAUAAGGCUGGGUGUGGUGGUAGUUCUAGCACUCUGGGAGGCUGAGCAAGAUUUCAAGAUCAUCCUGAGCAAGAGUAAGAUCCCAUAUCUACUAAAAAUAGAAAAUCUAGCUGGGCAUCCUAGUUCCCAGCUACUUAGGAGACUGAGGUAGGUGGAUCUCUUGAGCCCAAGAGUUUGAGGUUGUUGUAAGCUAUGUUUAUGCCAUGGCACUUUACCCAGGGCAACAGAGUGAAACUCUGUCUCAAAAAAAAAAAAAAUUAAAAAAAUUUCAAAAUAAGGGCGGCACCUGUGGCUCAAGGAGUAGGGCGCCGGUCCCAUAUGCCGGAGGUGGCGGGUUCAAACCUAGCCCAGCCAAAAACCAAAAAAAAAGAAAAAAAAAAUUUUCAAAAUAAAACGGCAGUAAAAAUAGUGCAAUAAAUCAAUACAGUGUAACAACUAUUUACAUAGCAUUUGCAUUAUAGAUAGAAGGAGGGGCUUUUGGUUUGUACUUUGGGGUUGUCCAAGGUUAUGGGGAUCAAAUAACAGGCUAUUCAAUUCUAGUGAGAGGCCCCACUGGUUUUGGUGGGCUUCGUGGUAAGGAAAACUGCUGAAUUGUGAAUAACAUUCCAUGGUCUGGUCCAUUCCUCCAACCGGAUUCCCCAUGUUCACCCUCUUGCCCAGAUAUGUAGGGUGGGGUUCCACACCUGGAUGGAAAUGGGAUUACAGGUGUGAGGUACGGUACAUACGGGUCACCCAGUCCUUUGGAUGAUGAUAUGUUCAGUAUUAUUCGGCCCUCCUUCAUAAGUGGCGAUGGUUAUACAUUCCUAGGCUGGACAAUGGUAUUCAUUUGGGUUAGGGGAGGAUGGUCUCAUUGGUGGGGUCCCACAGAGGUAGAAUUCGAGGUUCUAUAAGCCUCUUUCACCCUGCAUUGUCCCAUACUCCUGGAGCAUUCUAUAAGUUCCAGACUUAGUACAGAGACCUUCUUGGUUCCACGGAAAUGAAUCAAACAACCUACACAGAUCAGUAGGAAAUACCGGAUCUGGAUUCUGUUCCUUGGCUUUGAGGACUUUAGUACUAUCUGCCCAGGAUAUAUUCACCACCACCCUCCAUUUAGUCCAAGUGGAUAAUACAAAAUAAGUAGUGGUUGAAGUGAGGGUUUUGGGGAGGGAUUUCAAAGCCAAGCAGACACAUAGAAAGCAAAUUAAGAUUUUAAGUCUUAGCUUGAGAGGGUCUUCUCUGGAGAUAGCAGUCCAGGCAGGUUUUUCAUUUUCUCUGGCCUUUUUCACUUGGGAGUGGUGAAUCCAUGCUGUCAGACCAUCUGCCUUUAUAGCCGUUGGGGUGGUAAGGACGACAGUAUAACGGCCUAUCCACUGUGGACUCGGUCCCUCUUCCUGGAAUGUCUUUACAUACACAUGGUCCCCCAGCUUGAAGGCAGGUUCAAAUUUACUACUCCUCCUAUGGACUGGGGUGUGCAUCUUGAACCAGGAAUUGAAGAUCUGAUUGAACCUGAUGGAGGGUUUUGAGAUACUUUAGGAAAGAGUGAUUAGUUAUUUAUGCAAGGUGGGUUUCACAUACUCGGGGGAGUAGGAGAGAGGGUGUGCCAUACAUUAUUUCAUAAGGGGUGAAACCUGCUCUGUAUGGGGUACAUUGUACUCUAAGGGCUGCUAAGGGGAGGAGCUCCGUCCACCUUUCACUGGUCUCUUCAAUGAGUUUGGUUAAGGUUUCUUUUAGGGUCUGGUUCAUUCUGGCCUGAACUCUGGGGCAGAUAGGCACAGUGAAGCUUCCUUUGCAUGCCUAGGGCUUUACUGACUACUUGAGUUAGGGCCGAAAUAAAUGCUGGCCCGUUAUCUGAGCCAAUGGAAAGAGGUAAUCUGAAACUAGGGAUAAUUGCAUUUUAAGAGUUUUUUUGCUGUGGUGAAGGCUGUUUCAUUUUUGGUGGGGAAGACUUCUAUCCAUCCUGAGAAUGUAUCUAUUAAUACUAGGAGGUAUUUAUAUCCUCUGCUGGUAGGGUGGAUUUCAGUAAAGUCAAUUUCCCAACUUUCUCCUGGCAUUUGUCCCCUAAGGCGAAUUCCUUUUGGGAGUUUUGCCCUGCUUUCACAUUUACUUUUUCACAUGUUAACACACUGGGCAGCUGGGCAGCUGUGGACCCGGCAACUUCUGCCAAGGUUUAAAACAAGUACCUUGGUUCCAAAAGUUUUUGCAUUUUCUUACCUCCAAAUGGGUUACUGAAUGGAGUUGUAUCGGCUCCCUCCCUACUGGGUCAGGUAGAUAAAUCAGGGAGUCUCAACCAGCCUCCGAUUUCUUUGGCUCCCUGUUCUUUUGCGAAUUUCUUCUUCAGAGUAUGUGGGGGCUAUAGUGAGGACUGGAGCAGGAAACAGGAUGGUUGUGGGUAGAAUGCCCAGGGGUUUCACUGAGGUUAAGGCCACUUCUCCAGCAGUCUGCUACGGAUUGCCUCUGGGGAAUUAGGCUUCUUGUGCCCUGGCCAGUGGAUGACUGCUACCUUCUUGGGGAGCCAAAGAGCCUCUGAUAAGGCCAGUAUUUCAUUUUUGUUCUUAAUAGUUUUUCCUGCCAAGGUGUGAAGUCCUCUUUCUUUGUAAAUCUGGCCAUUUGUGUAUACUGUCCCAAAUGCAUACCAGCUAUCAGUAUAGAUGUUAAUUGCUUUGUUCUUUCCCCAUUGGAGGGCUUGAGUUAAAGCAAUUAAUUCGGCUUUUUGAGCUGAAGUGCCCACCAGCAAGUCCUGUGCCCAUAUUACCUCAUCCUGGGUGGUCACGGUGGCUCCUGCUUUCCAGGUUUGGUCUCAAAUAUAGCUGCUUCCAUUGGUGUACACUGUGACAUCAGCAUUCUGGUAUGGGGUGUCCUGCAAGUCCAUAAGGCCCUUUUGACAAAGGUCCAGCACAUCUUUGCAGUCAUGGAUGGACUCUUGCAGGUCAUCAUCUGGCAGCAGGGUUGCCGGAUUUAGGCUCAGGGUGGGACUGAAUCUCAGGCAUGGUUGGUCUAGAAGCAGGCUCUAGUACUGGGUAACUGGUGUUAGACAUCUGUCGGCUGCUAGCUCCCUGCAGGAGGUUUUCUACGGCAUGUGGUGCCGUUAGAAUUAAGUCCUGGCCUAAAGUUAGCUUAUCGGUUUCUCAUACUAACAGGGGUGUGGCUGCAACAGCCCGUAAACAACUUGGCCAUCCUGUGGCCACUGGGUCUAGCUGCUUUGACAAAUAGGUUACAGGCCACUUCCAUGGCCCAAGGGCUUGAGUUAGUACACCCUUUGCUAUGCCUUUCACUUCAUGAGUGAACAGAUGGAAGGGCUUUGUAAUGUGUGGGAGUGCUAAGGCAGGAGCUGUGGCUAAGGCCUAUUUUAGGGCCCUAAAAGCUUUAUUUUCUUGCUUGGUCCAUAACAGAGGGCUGUCUCCAGUGGUGGCUACCUAAAAUGGCUUCGCUAUUUCAGCAAAUCCUUGAAUCCACAAACAAGAAUAGUCUUCAGCCCCUAGAAAUCCCCGAACUUGUUUCUUUGUGGCUGGUAUAGGGAUCUGAAGAAUUGCUCAUUUUCUCUCACUGGUCAGAGUUUGUUUGCCUUCUGACAGCAGGUAUCUGAGGUAUCUUUCGUCAGGCAAAUCUCAGCUUUCUUAGCUUAUACCCGGUACCCCAAUUCCUAGAGGUAUUUCAAAAGGCCUGGGGUACACUCCAUCAUAAUUGGUUGUUGCUAGCAGGAUAUCAUCUAUAUACUUCAGGAGAACACAGUUCAUAUAUCUUGCUUUGAAAAUCUUUAGAUCCCUUCCCAAGGCUUCCCCGAACAGAGUGAGGGAGUUUUUGAAGCCUUGGGGGAAUCUUGUCCAUAUGAGUAGACUGGUCCUUCCAGAUUCAGGAUCAUCCAUUCGAAGGUGAGGAUUGGUUGACUGGCUGGGGCUAGUGGGAUGGUGAAGAAGGCAUCUUUUAGGUCCAGAACUGUGAACACUGGAAUUCUGGUGGGAGGAGGCUUAAGAGAGUGUAUGGAUUAGGAACAGUUAGAUGUAUUGUUUCUACUCACUUGUUUACCUCCCAGAGGUCUUGAACCAGCUGGAAAUCUGAUGUUCCCAGCUUCUUGACUGGAAGAAACGGGGUGUUCCAGGAUGACUGGCAUGGGAUCAGAAUUCUAGUUUCUAACAAGCGCUGGACAUGUGGGGCUACCCCCAGGCGAGCCUGGUGGCUCAUUGGAUAUUGUUGAACUUGGACAGCACCAGUGGUGGCCAGGAAAGCUUUCCACACAUCAACUCUGACUCUCUCCCAUUCCUCAGACAUGAGGAGUGUCAGGAAGAGUUGCUGGCAGUCAUCCCAGGUUGGAAGGUGAUUCCACAGGAAGGACUCAAUAAGGGAGGAGGUACUUCCUUGAGGAGGAGAAUGAGAGCUUCACGCCUUGGCUCAGGGUCCGUAUGGGACUGAAGAUGAGAAGCUGAAGUUUUUGGCUGGGGCUGGGUUUGAACCCACCACCUCCAGCAUAUGGGGCCUGCACCCUACUCCUUUGAGCCACAGUCACCGCCCAGCAUUUCUUUAUUAAUAAGCCUUUGGGUUGUGUCUUCCACAGUGUAAAUUCCAUCCAGGUGUCUUUGUACAUGGGGAUCUUGCUUUUGCCCAUGGUGGUCUUAUACUUCUGGCCUCAAGCAAUCAUCCCGCCUCAGCCUCCCAAAGCGUUUGGGGUUAUAAAGUGGUUUCUUUUCAGGUUCAUUCUCCUCCAUCUUCAGGUCUUCAGUCUCAGUUCAACUUCCCAGCUCAUUCACCGAAGACUGCAGACUUGUGUCAGGUUGGAGUAAAGGGCCUCAUCAUAGCUCCUGGACUCAAGAGAUUCUUCUGCCUCAGCCUCUUGAGUAGCUGGGACUACAGGCGUGUGCCACCAUACCCAGCUAAAAACCUGUCUUUUGAUUGGAGUGUUUUUCCAUUUGUGUUUGAUAAGGGUUUCUAUGAAGAUAUUUGUAAAGUGUUUGUCAUAGACACUUUAUAAGUUACAACUAUUGUUAGUUCUUGGGACACUCACCAUGUGACAGAACAACAGCAGACCCUGGUGCCUGGGAGGACUUCAUGGAUCCAGCAGCAACCUGGAGUGGUGCUCCUCUGAAGAAAUCCUACUCGGAUGGAUAUAAUACAACCUGCUAAGUGUCCUAGCACUUAUCAGGUUGUAUUAUCAUUGUCCGUGUCUAUGGCUCUCGUCUACCAGACCCUAAAUUCCUUAAGGGCAAGGACAAUGCCUUAUUCACCUUUAUAACCGUGAUGCCCAAUCCGGUGCACAUUGUAGGCCUCAUUAAAUGUUUGUUGAAUGAAAAAAUGAAUCAUCAACAGACAUUAAUUGGGCGCUUGCUCUGUGAUCUCCAUGGGCUCAGCUCUGCUUGUCCCCAUCAGUUGUCACGAACGUCCAUGCUUUCUUCAGAAUGCUUACUCCUGAAGCUUAUUCCUGUCUUCUAAUUCUUGUGCCAAGGACUUUUCUGUGUAUUGCGAUGAUAGCGAGUGCACUUCAUCUCAAGUACCAUCUCUAAUUGAAUAAUAAAGCCUGCCUCAUUAUGUUUUACAAAAAGAAUCUAAAGUCAGGUUUCAUCUCAGUAUGAAAGAGGGUUACAAUUAAUUAGUGAUGUCUGCUGAGGGUGGGAGAAUGGGGAAUAGCACAAAUACCUUGUAUAUGUUAUUUUUGUGUUUUCUAUGAAAUACUCCAUUUAUAGGCCGCAUUUUAGUCUUGGCUACUUGCAGAUGUUGUAUGACUAUUGCUGGCUACUAUAAUUGUUGCCAGUUGCACCUUGGGUGGGACCAGAGUAGUUGUCAUUGUCUGAGCAGGAACCUCAUCCUCAGUGUCUGGGGUUUGCUCCUGUGGCUGGUAUUCACAUUUUCCCUUUCAACUUUACUAUAGCUAUUCCCUUGCCUGCAUUGACAGAUAGGCCUCCAUUUUUCUAUUCACCACUCAGCAGGCUUAUAUUUUCAUUCUUAUUUGGUGAACUUAGUCAUUGUAUAAUGAGCAGCCUUUCCUAUUACAGAUGUGACAAGCAAAACAGAAGUUAAAACCACUCAGGGCCUUACCGUGAGUCAUAUAAGCACCCUUUUAAUAUGGGAGUAAAUUUGUUUGCAGACCAUGGAGCAGGAGGAACUGAGAAGAAUCAUUGUAGAUGUAGGAAAGUGAUAACAGAUGGAGUAAGAUCUUGAGGGAUGAUGCAAGUGACAGCUGGAGGGUGAAACCUAUGACUGUAGAACACGUGCAGGUUGAGGGGUCCUUAGAGAAAAGGAGCUACAUCUUCACUGGAGGAUAAGAGUAAGGAGGAAGACUUAGCAAGCAUGUUGAAGAUUUGUGAUUGCAGAGAUGAAUGAUGGAGGGGAAACUGAUCAGGGACAAGAUUAUGGAGACAAAGCUGCUGAAAUAGAAAACUGGAGGGCUGGAUAUGAACUAGAGUCUCUGUAAGAAAUGAGUUUGAAACUACAUUAGAAACCCAAGAAAAUAUAGAGUGGUUUUGGUUCAUUGUCACAAA